rnacentral:rRNA from 1 species
UACGUAGGGUGCGAGCGUUGUCCGGAAUUAUUGGGCGUAAAGAGCUCGUAGGCGGUUUGUUGCGUCGGCCGUGAAAACUUGGGGCUUAACUCCGAGCUUGCGGUCGAUACGGGCAGACUUGAGUUCGGCAGGGGAGACUGGAAUUCCUGGUGUAGCGGUGGAAUGCGCAGAUAUCAGGAGGAACACCAAUGGCGAAGGCAGAUCUCUGGGCCGUAACUGACGCUGAGGAGCGAAAGCAUGGGGAGCGAACAGG